rnacentral:rRNA from 1 species
GUGGAUUAGAUACCCUGGUAGUCCACGCCGUAAACGAUGAGUGCUAGGUGCUGUGGGUAUUGACCCCCGCGGUGCCGCAGCCAACGCGUUAAGCACUCCGCCUGGGGAGUACGGCCGCAAGGCUAAAACUCAAAGGAAUUGACGGGGGCCCGCACAAGCGGUGGAGCAUGUGGUUCAAUUCGACGCAACGCGCAGAACCUUACCUGGGUUAAAUCCACUCAAAGCUGCCAGAGAUGGCGGGGUGCCCUUCGGGGAAUGAGUGAGAAGGUGCUGCACGGCUGUCGUCAGCU